AGAGUUUGAUCCUGGCUCAGGAUGAACGCUGGCGGCAUGCCUAAUACAUGCAAGUCGAACGGAAGCAGCAAUGCUUUAGUGGCGAACGGGUGAGUAAUAUAUAGACAACCUAUCUUUAAGUCGAGGAUAGCAGUUGGAAACGACUGGUAAUACUGGAUAGGAUUCAAGUUCGCAUGAACUACUAUUUAAAGGGGCAACUGCCCCGCUUAAUGAGGGGUCUAUAUCGCAUUAGCUAGUUGGUAGGAUAAAAGCCUACCAAGGCGACGAUCGGUAGCUGGUCUGAGAGGACGGCCAGCCACACUGGAACUGAGAUACGGUCCAGACUCCUACGGGAGGCAGCAGUGGGGAAUAUUGGACAAUGGGCGAAAGCCUGAUCCAGCAAUGCCGCGUGUGUGAAGAAGGCCUGCGGGUUGUAAAGCACUUUCAGUGGGGAAGAAAUACUCAAAGAUAAUAUCUUUGAGAGUUGACGUUACCCACAGAAGAAGCACCGGCUAACUCUGUGCCAGCAGCCGCGGUAAUACAGAGGGUGCAAGCGUUAAUCGGAGUUAUUGGGCGUAAAGCGUGCGUAGGCGGAUACAUUAGUCGGGCGUGAAAUCCCUGGGCUUAACCUGGGAAUUGCGUUCGAUACUGUGUGUCUAGAGUAUGGUAGAGGAAAGUGGAAUUUCCCGGUGUAGCGGUGAAAUGCGUAGAUAUCGGAAAGAACAUCAGUGGCGAAGGCGGCUUUCUGGACCAAUACUGACGCUGAGGUACGAAAGCGUGGGGAGCAAACAGGAUUAGAGACCCUGGUAGUCCACGCUGUAAACGAUGAGAACUGGGCGUUUUCUCACUCACGUGGGAAAGUGCCGAAGCUAACGCGUUAAGUUCUCCGCCUGGGGAGUACGAUCGCAAGAUUAAAACUCAAAGGAAUUGACGGGGGCCCGCACAAGCGGUGGAGCAUGUGGUUUAAUUCGAUGCUACCCGAAGAACCUUACCUACCUUUGAAAUCCUCGGAAUCCUGCAGAGAUGUGGGAGUGCCUUCGGGAACCGAGAGACAGGUGCUGCAUGGCUGUCGUCAGCUCGUGUCGUGAGAUGUUGGGUUAAGUCCCGUAACGAGCGCAACCCUUGUCCUUAGUUGCCAUUUUCAUUAAUUUGAAAGGAACUCUAAGGAGACUGCCGGUGAUAAACCGGAGGAAGGUGGGGAUGACGUCAAGUCAGCAUGGCCCUUACAGGUAGGGCUACACACGUGCUACAAUGGGGAGUACAAAAGGUUGCUAAGUCGUGAGAUGGAGCCAAUCCUCUAAAACUCCUCGUAGUCCAGAUUGGAGUCUGCAACUCGACUCCAUGAAGUUGGAAUCGCUAGUAAUCGCGUAUCAGCAUGGCGCGGUGAAU
rnacentral:rRNA from 1 species